rnacentral:rRNA from 1 species
UGCGUAGGCGGUCUUAUAAGUCAAUGGUGAAAGACGGCAGCUUAACUGUCGCAGUGCCAUUGAUACUGUAGGACUUGAAUAAGGAUGAGGUUGGCGGAAUGUGACAUGUAGCGGUGAAAUGCAUAGAUAUGUCAUAGAACACCAAUUGCGAAGGCAGCUGACUAGACCUUUAUUGACGCUGAGGCACGAAAGCGUGGGGAUCGAACA